rnacentral:rRNA from 1 species
CGCAGCCGCGGUAAUUCCAGCUCCAAUAGCGUAUAUUAAAGCUGUUGCAGUUAAAAAGCUCGUAGUUGAAUUUCGGGAUCAAUAUGUCGGUCGUGCCUCCGGUACGUACUGGCAUGAUUGAUUUCUCUCUUCUGACGAACCAUGAUGUCAUUAAUUUGGUGUCAUGGGGAGUCAGGACUGUUACUUUGAAAAAUUAGAGUGUUUAAAGCAGGCUCACGCUUGAAUACAUUAGCAUGGAAUAAUGAAAUAGGACGUUUGAUCCUGUUCUGUUGGUUUCUAGGAUCAACGUAAUGAUUAAUAGGGAUAGUUGGGGGCAUUAGUAUUCAAUUGUCAGAGGUGAAAUUCUUGGAUUUAUUGAAGACUAACUACUGCGAAAGCAUUUGCCAAGGAUGUUUUCAUUAAUCAAGAACGAAAGUUAGGGGAUCGAAGACGAUCAGAUACCGUCGUAGU